rnacentral:tRNA from 1 species
GGCCCCUUCGUCUAAUGGUUAGGACACCAGGUUCUCAACUUGGUAAUACGGGUUCGAUUCCCGUAGGGGCUA